UUCUCCAGGACAUGGCAAUUGGGAUAAAUGUUCUUGAUUUAGGGUUCCAUCUAAUAUGAACACAGAUUGGUGUUUCAAUGGCUUCACCAACAUCGUUGCUUCAAGAGGCGAAGUAUUGUCCGAAGAAACGUCUCUUCCUAUGAAUUCUUCCACCACUAAUUUCGCUCAUGCAACUCUUUCUAUUGUUGAAAAACCCUAACUCAGAUUCCCAAAGAUUCCCUCUUUCUGACUCAGACAAAUUGGGAUGUAUAACUGAAGAAUUUGAUGGAGAGGAACGAAAAUUACAGUUCAGAAGAGGAAUGCAUGGAGAAAUACAGGCAUGGAAAGUACCAUGCCGUUCGAAUCGGCAAUGCUUUCAACAUGGCUGUUACGUCUUGUAGUCCAAGCUCGGUUUGAAAAAUGGUUCAAAAAUAUGUCUUACUUGGCACUUCAAGCCAUAAGGGUAAGCUUUUCCAUUAAUCUUUUUGCUCUGUCCUUUUUCAGUUUAUGACUAACAUUGUUUGUCUUUUUUUUUUCUUUCUCUGAUUCAUAGCUUUUAAGAAACUAUGUGGUAUGUCUCCUUUGAAUGAUCAUCAUCCCAUCCCAUGUAGACAUCUUUUAGUGUUGAUAUAUUUAUAAUUAGUUGGUGAAUAAAAUUUAUAAGAACUAGGUCAAAUCAUAGUCAGCUAAGAAUAAGAUAUUGAAUAGGAGGUUAUAUGAUGAAGAUAUGUGCCUAUAUGACAACACUCCUGAAGCCAGGGAUGCUGCAUUGUCGCAUUGGCAGCAAUAGCUAAGGAAAAACGGGUUUCAACUACAUUUUUGUGUGCUUUAAAAUAUGAUUUUGUUGUUGAGGUUCAAAAAAAUAUUCCCUUCAACUUCUGUGAAAAAUACCCGAGCAAGUGCAUCUUCUACAGAGGUAGGUUUACUUUUCUUUUAUUUAGUUUUUAGCUCAAGAAAUCUGACUUCAGUUUCAUUUCAUUCAUGUGGUGCUCCAAGAUUUAGUUGGGUUAUGUCUAGUUUGGAAGUUUUCCCUCCCCAGUUUCCUUUUCAUGGACCAAUCCAUCUCCCUCCCUCAGAAAGUGUCGGUGAUGGUUGUAUGAUGAUUCUACAAGCAAGUGAUCUACCGUAUAUCUCUAUAUCAAGAUCUGCUUAUAUAGAUGUCUAGAGAUUAUCAGAACUUAAGGUAAGUUGUCCUAUGUCCCUUGUUUUCAUUGUCUAUGGUAUAAAUUCGUGAUUUAUGUAACCAAUACGCUUUUUUCUAAUAACACUUAUUAUUAUUCUAAUAAAACCUAGCAUUUGGUAACAUAUUUUACAUUGCUUUUGAUCAAAUUGGCGAAUAAGUUUUGUUUCUUACUUAAUUUGAGUUGGAUGAUCUAUAUAUUAUAUGUUUAAAUGCUAAUUAAUCUUGAAAACUAGUUUCUCUUAUGACUGUAGAAUAGUGUUCCCACGUGUGUUAGAUUUUGUUGCUUUUAAUUUUAUUUACCUGCCAAGUUUCCUAUUUAUGAAAACAAGAAGGACAUGACCAAGGGACUCAGUAUGAAGCACAGUUUCUGAACCAAUCUCAUCUUCAAGAUCAGUACUGCAAAAAAAUAUUUGAAGAAAGACUCAUUAGCUUGUGUUUAUAGAUAUGGGUAAAUAUUUAAUUUUACAAUGUAUUCUAA